CCUACGGGUCGCAGCAGUGGGGAAUAUUGCACAAUGGGCGCAAGCCUGAUGCAGCCAUGCCGCGUGUAUGAAGAAGGCCUUCGGGUUGUAAAGUACUUUCAGCGGGGAGGAAGGCGGUGAGGUUAAUAACCUCACCGAUUGACGUUACCCGCAGAAGAAGCACCGGCUAACUCCGUGCCAGCAGCCGCGGUAAUACGGAGGGUGCAAGCGUUAAUCGGAAUUACUGGGCGUAAAGCGCACGCAGGCGGUCUGUCAGGUCGGAUGUGAAAUCCCCAGGCUCAACCUGGGAACUGCAUUCGAAACUGGCAGGCCAGAGUCUUGUAGAGGGGGGUAGAAUUCCAGGUGUAGCGGUGAAAUGCGUAGAGAUCUGGAGGAAUACCGGUGGCGCAGGCGGCCCCCUGGACAAAGACUGACGCUCAGGUGCGAAAGCGUGGGGAGCAAACAGGAUUAGAUACCCUUGUAGUC
rnacentral:rRNA from 1 species